CUCAAAUCCGCCCUGUGGGAGAGGUGGUAACGAGCCACGCUGCUGGGAAGCUGAAUUCUCAGAAAAGGCAAGAAGUUCUGGGUGUUUCACUUGUGUUGCUGCUGCCCAAGGGGGAUUUCCAUCCUGCCUCUGUGGACUAUUCUUCACUUCAGUGUGCAAAAAGUAACUGACUUCUAACCAAGUACAAUAUAGCUGAUGUGCGAGCAUGCUUCUUCCUCUUAGGUUUCUGCAGCAGCUGGGGCCCCAUAGCUUGCUGUUUGGGGCUCCUGGGCCACUGCUGAACAGCAAGCACUAGGAGCUCAGGGAAGUUGUUUUUCACUCAGGUUGGACAUUUUUGGUAGAAGGAUGUACCCUGAGAAUUGUACAGCUGCAAUUGCUUGCCAAACUCAAGGGAGACAGGGAAAGAGGAAGGAGAGAGAGCGUGUGCUAAGAUGUGAUUGUCUCGAGUUUGUUUUUGCAGCCAUGACAGCUUGCCUUCCCUGAGCUGCUUUCUAGUUCGGAACAUGAGCUAAGGCUGGAUCCCGCUUCGAACAGAGCUUCUUCAAGAGAACAAAGAAGUGGGGUUGUCCAGGUCCUUCGCAGAAGGGAAAGCUGUGCCAGAACCCCCAGCCUGACACCGACAGCCCGGGUCAUGCCAGCUUGGUGCAGUAUUUUGGACCGCAGCCUUCGUGUGUUAAUCUCCAACUAGAAGAGCUUGUGAGCAAAGCACGACUGUAAUUUUACACCCAGUGUUGCACGUAUUUGAUAGCAGGAUUUAAAUGCUGAUAGACUGAUGUUUCACCAUAUGUGACUGUGAGAUGCUGAGAUGGCAACCCUGAACUUGCAGGCAGCUUGCUAGGCCAAGCAACCAGCUCUGAGAGGCAAAAAUUGCCUCCUUUCAUCACGGUCCCGGCGUGUUCAAAGCAGAAGUCUGACUCCUGAUAGCAGUGUCUGGCUGGAGGAAAAGCACCUGAGGCAGAGCUGUGGGCUAAAGACAGUUCUUUCUGAGAAGCUCCAUCCAUUGUCUGCUGAAAUGCUGCUCAGUGUCUGGGGACCAUCUGUCCUCAGAGCGCUUCACAUGCAAAUCAAGCGAGCUUCCCCCUGUGCGUGCCGUUCCUGCCAGGUGUCUGUGCUAUCGGCCCUCGGAAACAAAAAGACUAAGAGACUCUGCGGUCUGCCCGAGCACUCUGUGUGGGUACCUCGCUCUCCUCUCAUCCAGGAAGCUGAUCCCAAACCAUCCUUCAGCAAUCUGCAGAGGUUUCACGCUUCUCACCCUCCUUCUGAGCAGUAGCCGGCCGACUUCUCUGGUCCUCAGACUCCUCGUUUUGCAGAACAGGGCACAAUGGAUCUGCAUUUGAUUUCCAGCAUCCUUUGCCCUGCCAGGCCCCACAAAGAGGGAGCAUCAUCUGUGUUACAGCUGUGCUUUUCUUGGCCUUUUUUUUUUUCACCCCCCCCUCUCAAACUGCUCUUGUGCUGCUUGAACAGGGUGUUUGUUUAUCCCUGUCCUCAGCCCACAGGAGGUGCCUGUGUCUUUCUAAGGACAAGCAACAGAGCUUCCUCAGGAGCAGUAACGCUGCCCGUGGUCUCAAGCUGCCAGCAGGUACCCAGAGGACACCGUCACCUGCCUGCAUCUCCGUGAGCCACACAAGAAGCAAGGCCUGGGGUCAGAGCGAGCAGUCAGCGUGUGGGCACUCGGCUGAGAGGGGCUGCGGACUGCUUCCCCCCAGCACGGCUCCCUCUGAAGCAGAUUAAACUUUGAAGGU
ensembl:lncRNA